CAGAGUUGCAAAACUCCCUAACCAUUGUGAACCUUACCUAACCGUUGCUUCGGCGGGCGGCCCGGGGUUCUAACCCAGGCCGGCCCUGGCCCCGAUCGCGGGCGCCCGGCAACCUGUCAGAAGCCCGAAACUCUUGAUAUUAUGGCCUCUCUGAGUAACUUCUGUACUGAAUAAGUCA
rnacentral:misc_RNA from 1 species